GACGGCCUUCCGGGUGUAACCUCUUUUGUCAGGGAAGAAGCCUUCGGGUGACGUACCUGGAGAAAAAGCACGGCUAACUACGUGCCAGCAGCCGCGGUAAUACGUAGGGUGCAAGCGUGUCCGGAAUUAUUGGGCGUAAAGAGCUCGUAGGCGGCUUGUCGCGUCUGCUGUGAAAACCCGAGGCUCAACCUCGGGCCUGCAGUGGGUACGGGCAGGCUAGAGUGCGGUAGGGGAGAUUGGAAUUCCUGGUGUAGCGGUGGAAUGCGCAGAUAUCAGGAGGAACACCGAUGGCGAAGGCAGAUCUCUGGGCCGCUACUGACGCUGAGGAGCGAAAGCAUGGGGAGCGAACAGGAUUAGAUACCCUGGUAGUCCAUGCCGUAAACGUUGGGAACUAGAUGUAGGGCCUGUUCCACGGGUUCUGUGUCGUAGCUAACGCAUUAAGUUCCCCGCCUGGGGAGUACGGCCGCAAGGCUAAAACUCAAAGGAAUUGACGGGGGCCCGCACAAGCGGCGGAGCAUGCGGAUUAAUUCGAUGCAACGCGAAGAACCUUACCAAGGCUUGACAUAUACGAGAACACUGCAGAGAUGCAGGACUCUUUGGACACUCGUAUACAGGUGGUGCAUGGUUGUCGUCAGCCCGUGUCGUGAGAUGUUCGGUUAAGUCCGGCAACGAGCGCAACCCUCGUCCUAUGUUGCCAGCACGUUAUGGUGGGAACUCAUGGGAUACUGCCGUGGUCAACACGGAGGAAGGUGGGGAUGACGUCAAAUCAUCAUGCCCCUUAUGUCUUGGGCUUCACGCAUGCUACAAUGGCCGAUACAAAGGGCUGCGAUACCGCGAGGUGGAGCGAAUCCCAAAAAGUCGGUCUCAGUUCGGAUUGGGGUCUGCAACUCGACCCCAUGAAGUCGGAGUCGCUAGUAAUCGCAGAUCAGCAACGCUGCGGUGAAUACGUUCCCGGGCCUUGUACACACCGCCCGUCAAGUCAUGAAAGUCGGUAACACCCGAAGCCGGUGGCCUAACCCCUUGUGGGAGGGAGCUGUCGAAGGUGGGGCUGGA
rnacentral:rRNA from 1 species